ensembl:lncRNA
GUCGCCGUCUGCCCGCGCCUGCUCCAGAGCAGCUCGCUCGCAUCUGUCUGGUGACUUUCCGCUGGGAGCUGACUCUGGGUCUGCAAAAGAUAGGCCUAUGCCAAGGUUGUCCACAUGGGUCAUCCUCAAAAUGAGAGAGAAAAAAGUGUGAUUAACCAUCCGUCAUUACAAGUAACCUCCUUUCUCUCCACACAUUCUAAUGAAUCAAAAGCGACUGAAAAAGUCUGGAGAUCAAUCUAGCACAAAGCCGCUUUAGCCUAGAUGCAUCUGAACUUAAAUGGAGCUCUUGAAUGCUAUCCUUUCUCUAAUUCUGUAGAGAGUAUUCUGUUGGCUAUCACUGCAUAACCUUUGGACAAUAAUCAUUAGGAAAGGCAAGCCUUGGAAAAAACAAUUUGUCAGGGUGAAAUUCAUAUUGCUGUAAAUCAUGAAGACUUCCCUGAGAAUAUUUGCCAGUUUUGGUUUUUUUUGAGGGAUAAUUUGGAUGUCUAUAGCAGCUAUUCACUUAAUGACAGGAUAAAGUGAAUAGAUUCUUCCUCUGCUUACACAUCACGAUGGAGAGGGAGCUCUGACUUUCUCAGCUGCUGCGGUGGUUGGAUCCGAAUGCCUCUGGUGGAGUUUAGGACAUGACUUUCCCUGAGGUCUGCCUCCUCUCUUUUCUUCCCACACUCGCUGGGGCGCUCACUGGUAGUCAGACAGAGGCAGGCUUCACCAAGCAGCAUUUCUCCCACUCGAUGGCUCGUCUUAGUGCUGGCUACCCUUUAAACUGUCCUUGAGACUCAAACCAGCGCCUGCAUCCCUGAGAUGGAGGUCUCACUCCUCACUUCCUUUUCUGAAGCUGGUCGUAGGCCGAAGCUUGAAGAACCAAAUGCUGACCCCAGGCUGCUGCCUUUACUUUUCAACCCCACCUUCUCGGAUUAUUGUUCACCAGUGAUGUAAUAUAAAGGAAUAGAAAAUAUACUGCUUUGAAGACAGUUUGGUGGAGAUUAAACAUUUUCUAAUGAACUGACGGCACAACCCUCUAGUUUGACUUGAUGAUCUCUAACUUCCCUUCGUAGUCAGAGAGUUUAGAAUGUUUGCCUGUAAACACGGCUGUGUUGUCUUCAUUCCCGUUCCAUCAGUCAGCUGCAGUGACAUGGAGCCCCAGCUGUAGAGGCUUUCAGUAGCAGGCAAGUUCCUGCUGUUACGUGACCAUCACGGGUCGGCGUGGGGCCCUCUUGUGUCUUCCUGCUGAGCCCUGGGAGGAAAGAGCAGCGUUGGUCUGGAAUACGUCGAGCCUGCAGCAGAGAGAAAAGAGCAAUGGCAGACCACGUCACCUCUUAAACCUUUUUCUGAAAGGGCUUCACGUCAGUUCCACUCUCAUUUCAUUGACCAAAACAGCCACGUAGUCAGCCUGAAGUAUAACCCUCCUAUUAGGAAGGGUCAGCAAAUAUUUUUUUUAAAAUGAUACAAUUUACCUUAUAUAGCUUAGCCAGGAGCGUCUUGAAGAGAGGAACCAUCUUUGAAUCCUUAUUGUAGCCGAAGCCAUCAUUUUCCUGGCCCUAACUUUUGUGCGUGCCCACCUGAGCAUGUCCAACCACUAGCAUGGUUGCCUCUUGGUCUGUGGCUUUCUCUGGUGACCAGAGUCUCCUGGCCCACAUGCCAGACAGGCUGGAAGUGCCCAGGAGGUGGCACCUCCUGGGAGGAACAGGCUCGCCCCUGGAUUGAAGUUGCUCUGAGACACAUUCCACACUGCCUCCCAGGGUUCCUGUGGCAGUGAGCCCGCUGCCCAGAGCAGGAACCUGCACCAACAACCCCUGUUCUUGGCCUCCCUUCUUCCCCGUCUUGCUUUACCACGUCCCUGCUGAUGCUUUCUGGAAUCAAUCAAAUACACCUGAACCCUUUACACUCAUAUCCUUAUCUCAGGGUCUGCUUCUGGGGGAACCCCAUCUAAGACGUCUACCAUGUGGAUUAAGGCCUGGCAAGCAAUCGACGCUUACAGAGUGUUGAUCAUCAUGGUCAGAAGAAGCCCAGGGAAGAUGCAGACAUUUUCCUGAGAAAUAUUGCUCCAGGGAAACAUGUAAAGCUGGAUUUUAAAUUUAAUAUUUCUUUUAGCGUGUCUAACAAGAUCACCUGCAUAUAACUUGACAUUUAAAAAUUUUAUCACGUCUUAUAUUUUCACGUUUCUGAUGACUUCUUCUACCUGGUAUCCUUUCUCUACCAACCCCCAUGUCUUAGUCCAAAUUUUAAAGUCCUACAAAAGAUCAUGAUGUGAAAAUUAAUGAUAAUAAUAACAGCCAUGGCCAGUAAUUGUCGGGCGUUUGCUCUGUGCUGAGCACCGUCCUCAGGGCUCGGCACCUGUGAACUCAGUUAAGCAUCACAACAAACCAGGAGCACGGUAUCAUUAUUUGUCUCCAGUUGGUUAAUUAAGAAAGGCACAAAGAGAACGCAAUUAUUAUUAUUUUUAGAUGAUACAUUUGAAUAUUUAGAAACCCAAAGGAGCAAACUUUAAAACUGAUAGAAUUAAUAAAACAGUUUAGUAACGGAGUCAGAAAAAUACUUCAUUAGACAAAAGUAUCGGAUAAGAUUUAUCACUUCCCCUCAUUAUAGGCUCUUUUAUAAUAUAUUCAACUGUAGCCCCCACCUCAUGACUCUGAGCAACCGGGCCAGGGAAGUACAUAGUCUAAGGCCAGAGAGGAAGGCCAGUUUUGAGAAUUUAAGCCAAGAGACAAGAAGACUUGUUAGGUGAAUUUGUGGCUGGAACAAGGAUCGCAACAAGCCGAAACUGGAGCCAUAUCAAACCGGGUCCAACCACAAGCCGGACAUUGUCAUGAUGAGUAGAAACUCUGAGGAAGCAGAGAAAGCCAGCUGGUGACGAGGAGAGAGAACUGAAUCAAGCAGUUGCUUGGCCUGAGAUCUGACUAAAAGGUCUUAUCAAUAUCAAGAACUUGGGGCAAAACAUUCCAGGAGGGAUGACAGCAACUAUCGAGGCCCCGAGGCUGAACACACUUGUAGGGAGGAGGCAGGGAAAGAUGGGGAGUGAGCUCAGGGAGGGUGAUGCCAGGUGACAGCAGAGGGAGCAGCCAAGCUGAGUCGGGGCUGGCGAGCCAUGGUGAGAGGUUUGGAUCCCCUUAUUGGGAAGCCCAGCCCAGCUCUGUUCUGCCUCCCUUUGAAGCUGUUCCCGUUGGCUUCCAUGAAUGGAAUCUCACCUUCUUUAGAACGUUCACAGACGUACACCUCCAGCAAUUGGCAUGUAAACCCUGAAUCACAGAUUUGUUUUACAUGUUUUAUAUUCCCAAGGAUGUUAGGUCUUAGGAGUCGGGAGCUAUGAAUCUUUGUAUCCUCUACAGACAGUAGCGAGCUAGCGUGAACAUGGUGGGUGCACGGUAAAUAUUUGUUGGCUCAAUAAAGGGGACAAUUAUUAAGUAUUCUCCACCAGUGCCCGUGGUUCCUCACUAUGCUCUCACCUAGAAGUUCUAAAGCUACGUUAUGUGACACAAAUGGUUAACUGAGACUCUCCUUGUCCAGGUGGUUGCUCAGUGAAACUAAAGACUGUGCAGCGAUAAGUCUUUUGUUAAGGGCUUUUGUUUGAGUGGCUGGGAAAUGGGGAGUACCAUUUCAUGAAUCCAGGAGAAAUUACACAGCCAUAUAAGGAAUACUUAUUGAGCCCCUACCACAGGGCAAUGUUUAAUGUUUUAUAAGCAUUUCUUGUUUAAUCUUCAAACGACCCUCUAGAGUCCCAACUAGUAUGUGGGAAAAUCAGUCAUGUAGCCAGGUUGGCUGAGCCUGAUUCCACGCUCUCAAUUAGCAGGCUAAAGUUGCCCCAGGCUGUCCAGGUGGAAGAAGGUGAUGUCCCUGUACUUUUUACAAGCUUACUUACGCAUCGAGCGCGUGCUCCCUGAUCCAGGCUACACUACGCACACAGGGGGACUUUGAUUUUUCUCUAACGUUUGUAAGGCCAAAGGAUUCAAACCUGUAGAAAUGAAUUUAGCAGCAGUCUUGCCCUUUCUUUAGUACCUUUCUAAUCUUCACUUUUGGUUCUGAUGCUGACUAAGAAAUUUUUAUAUACUUAGCUAUGCUCAGUACUUGCAAGUAGAGGACACUUUCAGCAAAGAAGACCGUUCCGUUACGCCUGCAUUUAUAAGAAACUACAUGGAAAAUCUGUGUACACUUUUCUAUUGAAGAAGAUAAAUUAUCCAUUAAGAGGUCUUCUGAAAUCUUUCAUAAUAGUUAUUAUUUGGUUUUUGCCUAUCUUUGAGGAUUAAAUCAAAGAUUUGAAUAUUUGAUAAAAACUUUUGUCUUUGAAAACUGUAAGCAUGAAGCUGUAUUUGCGUGAAUACUGGAGGCAUAAAUUCAUACUUUAUUUUAUGAACAAUAUAAACAAUGUCAAGCAAGGAUUUCUUUGACGAGCUUCUCCGAGUUGGAACGAGGUCUGCCCGGCUUCGGUCGCUCUCAGCUGGAUUCUCCCUUAAAUCCCCGGGAUUUCAACUGAAAGCUGUGGUCUGCCCACCUUCCUUCAGCCUGGGAACCCCCUCAGGGCGUCACAUUAUGGGACUAGGACUCGGCCCCGCGGCUGCAGGGAGCUGGCACUGGUCUGUGCUUCUCAGGCACCUCAGGUCCCCCACACUGUACGUGAUGCUACGUGACAGAAACGUUAGUUUUAUCCAGUAGAAGGCAACUGAAAGAAUAACUUUUAUGUUAAAACAAAUAUGGAUGUCUGAUGAAAUAAAAAGCAAAAGUGGCACACAUUUUUAAAUAUAUCACAAAGGACUUCAAAACACGUCAGUUUAGAAUGCCUGGCCUCGAGUUUCCAUUCUCUCCACCAUUUGAGAAGUAACUCAGCUUAUUGUUCAAGAGCAGACUCAACCCGACUGCAUAGUUGGAAUCCUGGUUUUGCUGAAUCCUGACUGUGGCCACGGGCAAAUUACUGAAGGUCCUGGGUCUCAGGCCCUUUCUCUGUAAAGUGAGGGUAAUUCCUGGACCUGCCUCACAGGCCCGUUGUAAGGAUUACGUGAGUUAACAUUUGCCAAGUGCUUGGAACUGUCCCUGGCACACAGGAAGUGCUGUAUGGUGUCAAAUACACUAAAGUAACUUAAGCUGGUACCACAGUAGCAAGUUUUGAGAACAUUUACUUGCUCUCACCACGGGGAGGACCGGCUCUGCGCAUGACCGGGCAGUCUGCUGAGCCCCCGUUUCUGUGGCCUCUGUGGUGCUUUCUUUCUUUCCCUCACCUGGGACUUCUCUGGGACUACAUUUGUCCUGCCACCCUCACUGAACACUUGAGCCCAUGUUUUGAUCACAAAUCCUUUGUUCUUUCAGUUGUCCCUUACGUUCCAAAGGGUGGAAAUGUGUCUCUGAGCAUCGCUUCUCAAAUGUUUAUGUGUAUAGAAAUCACCUAGGGAUGUUGUCAAAAUAGAGGUUGUGGUUCAGAAAACCUGGGCUGGGGCUUCCGAUUCCGAAUUUUGAACACACUGCAGGUGUUGUCCUUGCUGCUGGUUCCAGGAUCACACUUUGUGUGGCAACCUCCAAGUGAAUUUUACCAUCUAAAAAAUUAUCUAGCAACAAUUUAAAUAGGUGUUUCUACUUCAGGUCACAGGCCCAUAGACAUUUACCACACAGUGUCGCGGCUGAGAGAACAUUCUCUUCUGCUCUGUAGUAUCUCAAGGUUAUGAGAAAACUGGCCAGAAUACAACAAUGACAUUUUAAAUGCCCACCCAUCUGUCCUUUUCUGAUAUACUGUGCCGAGAAAUGAGCAGAGAAUUUUGAAGACCUAACCCCCCAAGUUGAUUUGCUCCAUGAAAUGUUGACAAUGGAGUUUUCAGAGAAUUUGUGUUUCAUAGUCCUAGAUAGAGAAG